CACUCCUACGGAGGCAGCAGUGGGGAAUAUUGCACAAUGGGCGCAAGCCUGAUGCAGCCAUGCCGCGUGUAUGAAGAAGGCCUUCGGGUUGUAAAGUACUUUCAGCGGGGAGGAAGGCGAUAAGGUUAAUAACCUUGUUGAUUGACGUUACCCGCAGAAGAAGCACCGGCUAACUCCGUGCCAGCAGCCGCGGUAAUACGGAGGGUGCAAGCGUUAAUCGGAAUUACUGGGCGUAAAGCGCACGCAGGCGGUCUGUCAAGUCGGAUGUGAAAUCCCCGGGCUCAACCUGGGAACUGCAUUGGAAACUGGCAGGCUAGAGUCUUGUAGAGGGAGGUAGAAUUCCAGGUGUAGCGGUGAAAUGCGUAGAGAUCUGGAGGAAUACCGGUGGCGAAGGCGGCCCCCUGGACAAAGACUGACGCUCAGGUGCGAAAGCGUGGGGAGCAAACAGGAUUAGAUACCCCAGUAGUCCCA
rnacentral:rRNA from 1 species